GCCGAAGUAGCUCAGCGGUAGAGCAGCGCAUUCGUAAUGCGCGGGUCGCGGGUUCGAUUCCCGCCUUCGGCUCCA
rnacentral:tRNA from 3 species